rnacentral:sRNA from 1 species
GCCAGGCACAGUGGUGCACGCCUGUAAUCCCAGUGGCUUGGGAGGCUGAGGCAGGAGGAUUGCGCAUUCAAAGCCAGCCUGAGCAACUUGGCAAGGCCCAAGCAACUCAGCAAUACCCUGUCUCUA